rnacentral:rRNA from 1 species
GAGGAAGACGCAGUGAACUGAAACAUCUAAGUAGCUGCAGGAAGAGAAAGCAAAAGCGAUUGCCUUAGUAGCGGCGAGCGAAACGGCAGGAGGGCAAACCGAAGAGUUUACUCUUCGGGGUUGUAGGACUGCAAUGUGGACUCAAAGAUUAUAGAAGAAUGAUUUGGGAAGAUCAGCCAAAGAGAGUAAUAGCCUCGUAUUUAAAAUAGUCUUUGUACUUAGCAGUAUCCUGAGUACGGCGGGACACGUGAAAUCCCGUCGGAAUCUGGGAGGACCAUCUCCCAACCCUAAAUACUCCCUAGUGACCGAUAGUGAACCAGUACCGUGAGGGAAAGGUGAAAAGCACCCCGGGAGGGGAGUGAAAUAGAACCUGAAACCGUGUGCCUACAACAAGUUCGAGCCCGUUAAUGGGUGAGAGCGUGCCUUUUGUAGAAUGAACCGGCGAGUUACGUUAUGAUGCGAGGUUAAGUUGAAGAGACGGAGCCGUAGGGAAACCGAGUCUGAAUAGGGCGCCUUAGUAUCAUGACGUAGACCCGAAACCAUGUGACCUACCCAUGAGCAGGUUGAAGGUGCGGUAAGACGCACUGGAGGACCGAACCAGGGCACGUUGAAAAGUGCUUGGAUGACUUGUGGGUAGCGGAGAAAUUCCAAACGAACUUGGAGAUAGCUGGUUCUCUCCGAAAUAGCUUUAGGGCUAGCGUCGACAUUAGAGAUUCUUGGAGGUAGAGCACUGUUUGGGUGAGGGGUCCAUCCCGGAUUACCAAUCUCAGAUAAACUCCGAAUGCCAAUGAAUUAUGGUCGGCAGUCAGACUGCGAGUGCUAAGAUCCGUAGUCGAAAGGGAAACAGCCCAGACCACCAGCUAAGGUCCCAAAAUAAUUGUUAAGUGGAAAAGGAUGUGGGGUUGCACAGACAACUAGGAUGUUAGCUUAGAAGCAGCUAUUCAUUCAAAGAGUGCGUAAUAGCUCACUAGUCGAGUGACCCUGCGCCGAAAAUGUACCGGGGCUAAAACAAUUUACCGAAGCUGUGGAUACCUUUAUAGGUAUGGUAGGAGAGCGUUCUAUGUGUGAUGAAGGUAUACCGUGAGGAGUGCUGGAACGCAUAGAAGUGAGAAUGCCGGUAUGAGUAGCGAAAGACAGGUGAGAAUCCUGUCCACCGUAAGACUAAGGUUUCCAGGGGAAGGCUCGUCCGCCCUGGGUUAGUCGGGACCUAAGGAGAGACCGAAAGGUGUAUCCGAUGGACAACAGGUUGAUAUUCCUGUACUAGAGUAUGUAGUGAUGGAGGGACGCAGUAGGCUAACUAAAGCAGACGAUUGGAAGAGUCUGUCUAAGCAGUGAGGUGUGAAUUGAGUCAAAUGCUUAAUUCUAUAACAUUGAGCUGUGAUGGGGAGCGAAGUUUAGUAGCGAAGUUAGUGACGUCACACUGCCAAGAAAAGCUUCUAGCGUUUAAACAUACUCUACCCGUACCGCAAACCGACACAGGUAGUCGAGGCGAGUAGCCUCAGGUGAGCGAGAGAACUCUCGUUAAGGAACUCGGCAAAAUGACCCCGUAACUUCGGGAGAAGGGGUGCUGACUUUAAGUCAGCCGCAGUGAAUAGGCCCAAGCAACUGUUUAUCAAAAACACAGCUCUCUGCUAAAUCGUAAGAUGAUGUAUAGGGGGUGACGCCUGCCCGGUGCUGGAAGGUUAAGAGGAGUGCUUAGCGUAAGCGAAGGUAUGAAUUGAAGCCCCAGUAAACGGCGGCCGUAACUAUAACGGUCCUAAGGUAGCGAAAUUCCUUGUCGGGUAAGUUCCGACCCGCACGAAAGGCGUAAUGAUUUGGGCACUGUCUCAACGAGAGACUCGGUGAAAUUUUAGUACCUGUGAAGAUGCAGGUUACCCGCGACAGGACGGAAAGACCCCAUGGAGCUUUACUGCAGUUUGAUAUUGAGUGUCUGUACCACAUGUACAGGAUAGGUAGGAGUCUAAGAGAUCGGGACGCCAGUUUCGAAGGAGACGCUGUUGGGAUACUACCCUUGUGUUAUGGCCACUCUAACCCAGAUAGGUGAUCCCUAUCGGAGACAGUGUCUGACGGGCAGUUUGACUGGGGCGGUCGCCUCCUAAAAGGUAACGGAGGCGCCCAAAGGUUCCCUCAGAAUGGUUGGAAAUCAUUCGCAGAGUGUAAAGGUAUAAGGGAGCUUGACUGCGAGAGCUACAACUCGAGCAGGGACGAAAGUCGGGCUUAGUGAUCCGGUGGUUCCGUAUGGAAGGGCCAUCGCUCAACGGAUAAAAGCUACCCUGGGGAUAACAGGCUUAUCUCCCCCAAGAGUUCACAUCGACGGGGAGGUUUGGCACCUCGAUGUCGGCUCGUCGCAUCCUGGGGCUGUAGUCGGUCCCAAGGGUUGGGCUGUUCGCCCAUUAAAGCGGCACGCGAGCUGGGUUCAGAACGUCGUGAGACAGUUCGGUCCCUAUCCGUCGCGGGCGUAGGAAAUUUGAGAGGAUCUGCUCCUAGUACGAGAGGACCAGAGUGGACUUACCGCUGGUGUACCAGUUGUCUUGCCAAAGGCAUCGCUGGGUAGCUAUGUAGGGAAGGGAUAAACGCUGAAAGCAUCUAAGUGUGAAACCCACCUCAAGAUGAGAUUUCCCAUGAUU